CCAAAAAAGUAGUCCCAGUUCGGAUUGAAGGCUGAAAUUCGCCUUCAUGAAGCCGGAAUUGCUAGUAAUGGCAGGUCAGCAUACUGCCGUGAAUACGUUCCCGGGCCUUGUACACACCGCCCGUCACACCAUGGAAGUCUGCAAUGCCCGAAGCCGGUGGCCUAACCACUUAUGUGGAAGGAGCCGUCUAAGGCAGGGCAGAUGACUGGGGUGAAGUCGUAACAAGGUAUC
rnacentral:rRNA from 1 species